rnacentral:lncRNA from 1 species
UUUUUAGUGCCUCGGUUCAGUUUCGGGUCCGGUCAACCCUGGUCAACACGGGUCAAACGUGGUCAAAGCUGGUCAAAGGUGGUCAAAGCUGCUCAAAUUCAGUCAACUGCUGGUCAACGCAGUCAACUCAGUCAACACGAAGCUCGGUAAAAUUUAAACGAUGCGAAUUUUGAAUGCUAUAGUUGCACGCUAGCUACUUCACAUUCUUGGAACGACACUACAGAAUCACGUUAAGCUAGCUUUGCACAGGAAUGUCAAGGUGAGUUCAUAACC